ensembl:snRNA U6 U6 spliceosomal RNA
CUGCCCACUUUGGCAGCACACGUACUGAAAUUGGAAGAUUAGCAUGGCCUCUGCACAAGGAUGACAUCCAAAUUCAUGAAGCAGUCCAUAUAUUC